UCGGACAUACCGGAAGGUUUGCCUACGCAGCCCCCACGCCGACUCUAAACAGACGUCCAGUCGUUCGCUCCGUCGUGCGGCAACGCGGCUAUUCUGGCUAGAAGCAUCCUGGCGGUAUUCCCGCCUGGAGGCAACUAGCAGCUCCCGUAGCCUUAAAUCGGUAUGACGGGAGUCCACAGAUCAAAUGCCUGCGGCCAUGCCAUUAUCGCAUGGUUGUGAUAUGACCGAGCCCCGCCAGCAGUGGCGAGGGAAACCUGGAACCUGCGGAAGGAUCAUUACCGAGAGACGGGAUCUAACCGGCCCCAACUCUUCACCCGUGUAUAUUCUACCUAGUUGCUUUGGCGGGCCGCCGGAGGCUCUCUGCGGGAGGCUUAACCCCCUCCUCGUGCCCGCCAGAGGGCCCAACUAAACUCUGUUAUCAGUGAAGUCUGAGCCAAAACAUAAUAACUAAAACUUUCAACAACGGAUCUCUUGGUUCCAGCAUCGAUGAAGAACGCAGCGAAAUGCGAAAAGUAAUGUGAAUUGCAGAAUUCCGUGAAUCAUCGAAUCUUUGAACGCACAUUGCGCCCUUUGGUAUUCCGAGGGGCAUGCCUGUUCGAGCGUCAUUGCAACCCUCAAGCACUGCUUGGUAUUGGGCCGCGCCCGCGGUGGCGCGCCCGGAUUUCAGUGGCGGUCCGGCGAGACUUCAAGCGUAGCAAGAUUAUAUAUCCCGCUUUGGAAGCUUCUCGCUGCGUGCUCGCCAGCCAACCCUUGUUCUCAAUGGUUGACCUCGGAUCAGGUAGGGAUACCCGCUGAACUUAAGCAUAUCAAUAAGCGGAGGAAAAGAAACCA
rnacentral:sRNA from 1 species